UUUCCGUAGGUGAACCUGCGGAAGGAUCAUUACCGAAUUGUCAAACGGGUUGUUGCUGGUCCUCAAACGGGGACAUGUGCACGCUCUGUUUACACAUCCACUCACACCUGUGCACCCCCCGUAGUUCUAUGGUCUGGGGGACCCCGUCUUCCUGCCGUGGUUCUGCGUCCUUACACACACGCUGUAACAAAGUCUUAUGGAAUGUAUGCCGCGUCUAACGCAAUACAAUACAACUUUCAGCAACGGAUCUCUUGGCUCUC
rnacentral:misc_RNA from 1 species